rnacentral:rRNA from 1 species
CCUACGGGAGGCAGCAGUGAGGAAUAUUGGUCAAUGGCCGGAAGGCUGAACCAGCCAUGCCGCGUGAAGGUCAGUGCCCUAUGGGCGUUAAACUUCUUUUGUGCGGGAGCAAUAAUGGUCACGUGUGGCCAGACGAGAGUACCGUACGAAUAAGCAUCGGCUAACUCCGUGCCAGCGGCCGCGGGAAUACGGGGGAUGCAAGCGUUAUCCGGAUUUAUUGGGUUUAAAGGGUGCGUAGGCUGGGAGGUAAGGCAGCGGGGAAAUGCCCCGGCUCAACGGGGUGAAGUGCCAUUGAUACUGGCUGGCUGGAAUGCGGAUGACGUGGGAGGAAUGUGUGGUGUAGCGGUGAAAUGCAUAGAUAUCACACAGAACACCGAUUGCGAAGGCAUCUCACGGAUCCGAGAUUGACGCUGAUGCACGAAAGCGUGGGUAUCAAACAGGAUUAGAUACCCUAGUAGUC